rnacentral:rRNA from 1 species
UCUCCUACGGGAGGCAGCAGUGAGGAAUAUUGGUUAAUGGGCGGAAGCCUGAACCAGCUAAGUCGCGUGAGGGAAUAAGGCCCUACGGGUCGUAAACCUCUUUUGCCGGGGAGCAAGGGCGGGGACGUGUCCCGGCCCGGAGAGUACCCGGAGAAAAAGCAUCGGCUAACUCCGUGCCAGCAGCCGCGGUAAUACGGAGGAUGCGAGCGUUAUCCGGAUUUAUUGGGUUUAAAGGGUGCGUAGGCGGGCUUUUACGUAAGCGGUAAAAAUUCGGGGCUCAACCCCGCUCGGUC